rnacentral:rRNA from 1 species
GGACUACUCGGGUUUCUAAUCCUGUUUGCUCCCCACGCUUUCGUGUCUCAGCGUCAGUUGUCGUCCAGCAAGCCGCCUUCGCCACUGGUGUUCCUCCCAAUAUCUACGCAUUUUACCGCUACACUGGGAAUUCCGCUUACCUCUCCGACACUCAAGCUAUGCAGUUUCAAAGGCGGAUACGGGUUGAGCCCGUAUAUUUAACCUCUGACUUACUUAGCCGCCUACACACCCUUUACACCCAGUAAUUCCGGACAACGCUCGCCACCUACGUAUUACCGCGGCUGCUGGCAC